rnacentral:rRNA from 1 species
GAUGAACGCUGGCGGCGUGCCUAAUACAUGCAAGUCGAGCGAACAGACGAGGAGCUUGCUCCUCUGACGUUAUCGGCGGACGGGUGAGUAACACGUGGAUAACCUACCUAUAAGACUGGGAUAACUUCGGGAAACCGGAGCUAAUACCGGAUAAUAUAUUGAACCUCAUGGUUCAAUAGUGAAAGACGGUUUUGCUGUCACUUAUAGAUGGAUCCGCGCCGCAUUAGCUAGUUGGUAAGGUAACGGCUUACCAAGGCAACGAUGCGUAGCCGACCUGAGAGGGUGGUCGGCCACACUGGAACUGAGACACGGUCCAGACUCCUACGGGAGGCAGCAGUAGGGAAUCUUCCGCAAUGGGCGAAAGCCUGAUGGAGCAACGCCGCGUGAGUGAUGAAGGUCUUCGGAUCGUAAAGCUCUGUUAUUAGGGAAGAACAAAUGUGUAAGUAACUAUGCACGUCUUGACGGUACCUAAUCAGAAAGCCACGGCUAACUACGUG